rnacentral:sRNA from 1 species
GUUUGCACUUGUCGGGGAAGGGUGAGAACCUUCGAUUAAGGUUCGACUCGAGCGAAAGCGAGAGAACGUUGCCAACGGCAACGGCCCGUAGGGUGAGGAGCGAAGCGACGAAUAAUCCUUCCCCCACCA